rnacentral:rRNA from 1 species
UACGAAGGGGGCUAGCGUUGUUCGGAAUUACUGGGCGUAAAGGGCGCGUAGGCGGUGUGUCAAGUCAGGCGUGAAAGCCCCGGGCUCAACCUGGGAACCGCGCUUGAGACUGGCACGCUCGAGUUCGGGAGAGGAUGGUGGAAUUCCCAGUGUAGAGGUGAAAUUCGUAGAUAUUGGGAAGAACACCGAUGGCGAAGGCAGCCAUCUGGACCGACACUGACGCUUAGGCGCGAAAGCGUGGGGAGCAAACAGG